rnacentral:rRNA from 1 species
GCCAGACUCCUACGGGAGGCAGCAGUGGGGGAUAUUGCACAAUGGGGGAAACCCUGAUGCAGCGACGCCGCGUGAGUGAAGAAGUAUUUCGGUAUGUAAAGCUCUAUCAGCAGGGAAGAAAAAAGACGGUACCUGACUAAGAAGCCCCGGCUAACUACGUGCCAGCAGCCGCGGUAAUACGUAGGGGGCAAGCGUUAUCCGGAUUUACUGGGUGUAAAGGGAGCGUAGACGGCAAUACAAGUCGGAAGUGAAAUACCCGGGCUCAACCUGGGAAUUGCUUUGGAAACUGUAUGGCUGGAGUGCUGGAGAGGUAAGCGGAAUUCCUAGUGUAGCGGUGAAAUGCGUAGAUAUUAGGAGGAACACCAGUGGCGAAGGCGGCUUACUGGACAGUAACUGACGUUGAGGCUCGAAAGCGUGGGGAGCAAACAGGAUUAGAUACCCCCGUA